GCAAUUUGUUUGGCUACAAUAAUCUUAAAAACAGUAAAGAUCAGCUCUUGGACUUCUUCGCCCCCCCCCCCCCCCCCCCCUCUCCGCCCUUCCCCGAUUUUGACGAAUUUCGAACAACACUCAAAUCCAUUCAUACAAAUGCUAUGUCUACGUAAUUUUGUGUAAAUAAUCGAUUGAGGGCAAUCUCAAUUCGUCAUGAUUGUUAAUUUCAAAUUCACAUUCGAAAAAUUGAGAUAUCUCAUCUUGUUUUUCCGGCUUUUGAUCCUCCGGCGGUCGAUAUAUCUUUUGUAAAUCCGGUAAAAACGAGUGAGUAAAAGAACAAAAAAAAAAAAAAACAAACUAACAAACUCUUAGCAACCUAUUUUGAGACGAAUAAUUUUUUGAAUUCACAAAUCUUAAGAAAUUGAAGAUUGGUCCCUUUGAAUUUUUGACAAAAUUCUCAUCGAUUUCGAAAAUUGCAAUUUAUGUACACAGGCUACAUUCACGUAAUUUUCGAGUGGAAACGAUUGCAUACUAUCCCAAGUCACCGGAAUCGUUGUUUCAAAAGUUACAAUUAAGCAAUAACGUCGAAGUUUUAUCGUACAUUCUCUGCCGUUGAUCGAAUCUGGUUGAAUUUACUGAGUUCCCGCUUACGCAGUUAGUAGAAUAAACAUUAUAAAGUUAUAAAUCGACUCUGGCAGUAAAAGAUAUUAGAGUCAACAGAUUGCAAAAAGAAAAGAAAAAACACACGAUUGAGCUCUUUUCAUUUUGCCAGAAUUUUCAACAAAUCUCGAAAAAUGUCCAAAUCAAUUUCUUGAUACGCCAUAUCAGGUUUAUUAUUCUCAGACUUAGACUCAGACUCAGACUAUUUUCAAAUAAUUUCAACUUCCUGCCAUCUGCAGCGGUUGAGAACUUACAGAAGUACUGCGAUUUAAUAUAAAACAGUGGUGGCAUUGUAAAUUAUACAUUAUACAUUCAUUUCUCAUGAAGAUGAAGUGAGUAACGUUGAAAUGAAAAUUAUUACCUGUUUCGCAACUGUUGAAUAACUUUGAAGGGGUUGAAUUCGCAAAAUAUCAGUUUACUGAUACUGUAUUACAGUUUGCUGAAGUUGAGACAUUUGAACAGUUGCAAAAUGACGAAUCAUUCUGAAAAUGCAUCGUUAGAUUACGAAUUUCAACUUUGUAAUUUCUUCAUCUUCUUUCACGUAGUUCUGUUUUCUCCUCCGUUCCGUUUUGUCAAGCAUUCGUUCGAAUUGGUAAGAACUGGGAAAAUGUUAGGGUGGCAAACAUCCAAAAAUUGAUAUAUUUAUUUACGACGAAAUUUUUGGCUUCGUUCUACGUUACUUCCGGUAUAAGGGCCCCGCUUUUUUCACUCUGACUACGACACUGUGUUCCAUAUCGCAGUUUCUCUCGAUAUAGUUUGAAAUUCAAAUUUGAGUGUCGUCUUUUACGAUCCUCCGGUAUUUUAUUUAUAGCGAUGAUGAAGCCUCCAAGUAUAUGGUAGCGCAACGAAACGCAAAUGAAUAAUCAAAUCCAUAAAAUGAUCGAACAACUUGUUUUGUUAGCAAUCUCACAGCACAACCCAUUCGGUUUUAUGAAAAUAUUCUUGCGAAAUAUUAGUUUCUCGGUGUAAAGAAUUAAAUUAAUUCCGAAUCAAGACUUGAAUCAUCUGCAUUUAAAUUUGAAUAAAAUUCUCAUUCAAUUAUCAGAUUAUCGACGUAGAAUCAAAAAAAUUAACAAAUCACCAAGAACUAUUCCUCCAGUCACGAACACAGCGAUUUACCACAACUCAUGAAAGGCUGAUUUUAUAUCAUAAUGAUAAACAGCACGGCGUUCCGUUGGAGGAAGAUUUACACAUGCCUCGGUAAAGAAAAAAAAAAAAAAAACCGUGGACGGCCGGAUGUAAACUAACUGGCAAUGCGAAGGAAGGCGAUGAAAAUUAAUUGAACUGACUACCGCAUAAAUUAAUUUCGUAACUGGUGCGGUAAUUUGGAAAAUUUCACUUCAACGUUGAGUGCACGUAGUUAAACAUUUGCAUACAUCGUUUUCUUCAAAUAUUAAAAUCACGUUACAUUUAACCAGGCCCGCAUUUGAAAUUCAUAUAUGUAACUUUCUAAAUGGACAUUUAUCCACAAAAGGUUUCAAUAAUGAAAAGGAGGGUAAUAAUGUCAGCAAAAUUAUCUCAAAAUCUUAUUCCAUGCACUAGAGCUGGUAAAAUUUCAGACUUGGAUAGCAAGCUGCCGAAUGCUAUGAAUAUAUAGCAUGCAUUUUUAUCUCAAGGCAUCCAAUUAGAUAAAAAAAAAAAUAAAAAAAAAAAAAAUUUAAAGAAAAAAAACGCCACAAAUACUGUACUUCACCAACGUUGUAUUUUUUGGAUUCUUUUGGAUUCUUGCUGUUCGUUUGCUUGUCAUUUGAAACGAAUACAAUUUUCAAUUACAACGUGACAGACGUUAAUUACCGAUUGCGUGAUUUUUGUUUUAUAGCUGUAUAAUAUGUAUAGACCGGUAUAAAUACAUGCCGUGUGAUUAAAUUGCACAUCGGCAUGUAUAAAAAGCGAGUCUCCUGUACGUCAUCCUAAAAAUAUUUUGCAAUCACGUAAAACCUACAAUAAUUCGUGUUGAUAAAAUUUGAUCAGUGAACACCUGUAAGAAAAAUUAUUUUGCAUGGGUGCUCCAAAAAAAAAAAAAAAAAAAUAUGUGCAAAUGAUACAUAUUAAUUACCAGAACUUUCACGAUGUUGAUAAUAUUUUGAAUCUAAUUUCGAUUACAGCUUUACUUGUAAUAGUUAUGUAAACAAAGUGUUGAUUUUUCGAUACUGCAGAAACCGGUAAAAUUCAUAACUUGACGCAAAACAGAAAAAAAAAGAACAUGAGGUAAUAAAUGAUGUUUUGGAAAUUGCCAUGAUCAAGUUAUUUUGCAUAUUACUCUUGAUGUAAACGAUCUAUUGAGAAAAGGAAAGAACACAAAGGUAGUUGAUUCACCUCUGCAACUUUUUUUCCGUUCAGAUACAUAAAUUAGUCUUAUGCUAUCACUUGUGAUCGAUAUACGCAAAUGUACGUAGAAACAACUCACUGCGUAAAAUCUAGCGUUGUAUAUCAUGUGCAACAAAGUAUUCAGUA